rnacentral:rRNA from 1 species
GACGAACGCUGGCGGCGUGCCUAAUACAUGCAAGUCGAACGAGAGCGUCCGGUGCUUGCACUGGUCAAUCUAGUGGCGAACGGGUGAGUAACACGUGGGUAACCUGCCCAUCAGAGGGGGAUAACAUCCGGAAACGGAUGCUAAAACCGCAUAGGUCUUCGAACCGCAUGGUUUGAAGAGGAAAAGAGGCGCAAGCUUCUGCUGAUGGAUGGACCCGCGGUGCAUUAGCUAGUUGGUGAGGUAACGGCUCACCAAGGCCGUGAUGCAUAGCCGACCUGAGAGGGUGAUCGGCCACAUUGGGACUGAGACACGGCCCAAACUCCUACGGGAGGCAGCAGUAGGGAAUCUUCCGCAAUGGACGCAAGUCUGACGGAGCAACGCCGCGUGAGUGAAGAAGGUUUUCGGAUCGUAAAACUCUGUUGUUAGAGAAGAACAAGUGCUAGAGUAACUGUUAGCGCCUUGACGGUAUCUAACCAGAAAGCCACGGCUAACUACGUG